AGUUUGACUUUCUUCAUCGAUCCAAAAUGGAAGAGUGUACGACGCAAUUCUUUCCGACGAGCAGAAGCGGUGCGAAUCGAUUUCGCCGUCUUCAUCGUGUUUCCUCCGAGACCAGCGAAGAACAAACGUUCUGGAAUCAAGACUCCUCUCCUGAUGAUGACUUGACAGCGCGCGAAUCACUUUCAGGAUCUGAGAAUUGAGAUUGCAUCGUAUCGGCUCAGCGGUGUGCAUCGUUUGUUGGUGAUUCAAAGGUCGACGCCGAUAUACAUGGAGCACGUUGAAGAACGAUGAUUUGCGGCCGCUCGACAUCUCAGGUGCGACGGAAACAAAAGCUCGAUCAAAACCCUGAGUUUGCUAAGUGGUUUCUUAAUCGGCACACGAGCGAAACCAAUUCAGUUUCUCCGCGCGUCUUGAACGAAUAGGGGUCAAUCACUGCCUUCGUCAUGCCGGACUUGUGUGAUCCGACUUCACAUGCUUUGAAGCUACUCAGAACGCAUUGACAAAUUGAAGAAGAGACUAAGAUACUUACCGGAUCGGAAUUGUCGAAUCUCCAUGGCAUUUCAUUUUGAACUUCUUCAUCAAUAUUGAUGGGAUCGAGGAGGAGUGGAAAACAGGACCGAAGUUCCGUCGCGUUUCAGAAUACAGAAUACAGAACCGAAGCUUUGGGAUCGAGAAGGAGGACAGUUCCGAGACCGGUUUCGAUCGACCUUCACUGUUCACGUCAAUUCAAAGAGCGUUGCAAGGAAGAGGACAAGGUCGGACCAAAAUAUCCAGAAUUCUCCUCGCUUUGAUUCACUCCUUCUUCUUUGCUUACGGAUUCUUCUUCUUCUGGUUUGUACUGAUGCGUUGUGGUUGUUUACCGGCGAUGGUGAUAUGGAGCGGCGAGAUUUUAUGCAGAACCGUGCUUUAGGAAGAAUCAAGGAAUUGCAGGACAUCAAGGUUGCGAAAUGUGCAGGUCGAAGAGUAUGAGAAUGUAACAGGAAGAUGAAGAAUGGAGAAUGGAUGUGGUUGAAGCAAAGAAUCAAUAUCGUGAAAGAUCAUCCGAUUGAAGCAAAAUAGAGAACGAAUUAAAGAAGGUGGAGAUUGAAUUUCAGGCCUCAAGCCGAAAACACACAAAGUGUGAAUUGAAGAAGAAGGCUCAGAGUGGAUUCUAGAAAAAACACUCAAAGUGAAUUGAGGACCAACAUCACACGAGCUAUUCAUAUGGACAAAUGGGACUUGAUAAAAGGAACACAACGACUUAAAAACAGGGAGUGAAGCUUCGACAUUUCUGUAUGGAGGAGUGUUCCUUUUGCUGGGUUGUUGGCUCGAGUGUGGGAAGCGGUCGCAUAACCAUGCUGGUUGGUGAAGUGGCGGAAAUACUUGUGUGCGCGUGAUUGUUUCAGGCUAGAUCAAAUGUUAAAUGAUAUGGCCUGUUAAUUGAAAAAAUGCCUUGCUGAUGGAUGGAUUAUUGUAAGAAAAAACCAGCAAUUUAACAUGAGUGAUGAAUGGGGUAGAAGCUAGAAUCUAGGACUCUUUUGGUUACUUGAUGGAGUCUUGUACAAUUAUUGGAAUUGGCUUUGCAUAUGAGAAGCGCAUUGUGUAUAUGUUGUAGAUUCUUUUAUUAUAGUGGAUGUUGUAAAUAUCGAACGAAAUGUGUUUCACGAUUAUAAUGUAAUAUGACAUGUAUUGGAAAUUUGGUUGAACUAUUGAAUUUUAAUGGAGAUGUGAUGCAUUUGGAUGAACAGAA